GCAUCUUCUUGUUUUUAAAAGACCUAGCAAUAGGUAUGCUUAGGGAGGAGCUUGCGUCACAUUAGUUAGUUGGUGGGGUAAAGGCCUACCAAGACUAUGAUGUGUAGCCGGGCUGAGAGGUUGAACGGCCACAUUGGGACUGAGACACGGCCCAAACUCCUACGGGAGGCAGCAGUAGGGAAUUUUCGGCAAUGGAGGAAACUCUGACCGAGCAACGCCGCGUGAACGAUGAAGUAUUUCGGUACGUAAAGUUCUUUUAUUAGGGAAGAAUAAAUGAUGGAAAAAUCAUUCUGACGGUACCUAAUGAAUAAGCCCSGGCUAACUAUGUGCCAGCAGCCGCGGUAAUACAUAGGGGGCAAGCGUUAUCCGGAAUUAUUGGGCGUAAAGGGUGCGUAGGCGGUUAAAUAAGUUUAUGGUCUAAGUGCAAUGCUCAACAUUGUGAUGCUAUAAAAACUGUUUAGCUAGAGUAAGAUAGAGGCAAGUGGAAUUCCAUGUGUAGUGGUAAAAUGCGUAAAUAUAUGGAGGAACACCAGUAGCGAAGGCGGCUUGCUGGGUCUUUACUGACGCUGAGGCACGAAAGCGUGGGGAGCAAACAGGAUUAGAUACCCUGGUAGUCCACGCCGUAAACGAUGAGUACUAAACGUUGGGUAAAACCAGUGUUGAAGUUAACACAUUAAGUACUCCGCCUGAGUAGUACGUACGCAAGUAUGAAACUUAAAGGAAUUGACGGGACUCCGCACAAGCGGUGGAUCAUGUUGUUUAAUUCGAAGGUACCCGAAAAACCUCACCAGGUCUUGACAUGCUUCUGCAAAGCUGUAGAAACACAGUGGAGGUUAUCAGUUGCACAGGUGGUGCAUGGUUGUCGUCAGCUCGUGUCGUGAGAUGUUGGGUUAAGUCCCGCAACGAGCGCAACCCUUAUUGUUAGUUACCAGCACGUAAUGGUGGGGACUUUAGCAAGACUGCCAGUGAUAAAUUGGAGGAAGGUGGGGACGACGUCAAAUCAUCAUGCCCCUUAUGACCUGGGCUACAAACGUGAUACAAUGGCUGUUACAAAGGGUAGCUGAAGCGCAAGUUUUUGGCGAAUCUCAAAAAAACAGUCUCAGUUCGGAUUGAAGUCUGCAACUCGACUUCAUGAAGUUGGAAUCGCUAGUAAUCGCGAAUC
rnacentral:rRNA from 1 species